UGUCUAGGAUGAGAGAAGGAGUCUGUGGUGGGUCAGACAAGGAAGUCAGGGACACAUGAGGACACAGGGGCCCAGGCCGAGAGCUGGGGCAGCAGGAGAUGGACAUGGGGGUGGGACGUCCCCUCAGCUCCUGGUACACCCUGGUGGGUGGUGCUGAAGGGGAGUGGGUGUACGUAUGUGACAUUGGAGCCUCGAGAAGUGUCCAAAUGCCAGGCAGCGCUGUUCAUGGACUCAGCGUGUAAUGAUCCCUCCCAGAAAAUCAUAAUCCAUCAAUCUCUCCUCUCAAGACCAUCAAUCAAUGUUCCAGAAUCCACGGCUGCGUUCUCAUUCCAGGAGUUUUCAAUCACUUCUCUUUUCCCCCGUGUGCGCAGAACAAUGCAGUGACACUAGGAAA